AGGCACACAAAAGCAGCAACCUCCUAGAACAGGUGUGAGAGCCACCCCUGUACUAGAGAGUACAAAUGAAUAUUUUGGGGUUUAAAAAAAUGCUACUUUUUAAAAAAUGGGGUGGAUGAUGCUUGAGCAUUUCUAAACAGGUUUGUGGGGUCUCAUGUGGUCCAUGAGUCACAUCUACUUUCCUGCUGCUUUACCAUCUUGGUCACUCUCCUUUAGAAACUAUUUUCAAUGCCCUUUUAAAAACUGGAUUCUUGCUAUGUAGUCAAGGCAAAAUACAGUAAACUGGUAUUACUACAUACCUUGCUUUAGACACUACAGUUAUGUUAAUUACAUUGGUUAAAAUUACAUUGGUGAUUUUUGCUGCUGCAUUCUGCUCUUGAUCCAUGUUUUAUUUCUAAAGGACUCUGGAUAAUGGUACUCAUACAGUGUUGUCACACUCACUAGGUAUCACCCAACCUUUAUGUGUGCAUCUGAUUUUUUUUCUUGCUUAAAUAUAGAUCUUACAUUCAUCCCUUAUGAGGUUCAUUUUAUUAAUUCUGGCCAGUUUUUCAGCCUGCUAAGAUUAGCCUUAAUCUUGAUUUCUGUCCUCUGCGGCAGUAGUUAACUGUCAUCUACUAUUUUGAAGAAAGUUGUCUCUAUUCCUUUACACAUAGCUAACAUAAGGGGAUUCAAAAUACCAACGAGAGAUUCAUAAGAUUUUGGAGGGUGGGUGAGAGGGAUUGACUGUAGGUAAAAUAGUACAACUAAAAAACCCCAUGAAUCAGACCUUGGUUCUUUCAAGACUAUGAUUAAAAGAAAACAAUGGCUUAGCCUUGCAUCUAAAUAAGCCUUUUUCUAGAGAAUAUGGGGUUGGAGGUUGUCUAAUUUCAGGCUUGAGGGUUUAUCUUUGUCUUCUUUAUUAGAAUUCAGAAGCUUACCAGUUGGAGCCAGGUAACAUUGAAGGAAAGCAACUGUGAAGAUGUUUUCAUCCCAGGAAAAUGGCUUUAGUACUCAUAUAUGUCCAUUUGCUUUUAUUCAAGCAUUCUUAAACCAUGGGGAGUUGAGAGUCCUUACUAAUCAACCUCAGACACCCAGAGAUCCCAAUCUCCUUCUUACUAGUCACACAGUAAAAGAAGCAGAUAUGCACCUUGGCUUGCAUGCCUUGGGACCCUACAAGACUGGGAUUCCAGCUGCUAUAUACGUAGUAACUCUCCUUCAAAUUCCAAACUCAAAAUAUGACAUUGGCGGAGGGGACAUGUAUCUUAGUCCAAUUUAGGCUUUCUGCAGAUGGUCAAUAUUCUUGGUAAUAACCAGGCUAUUCUAUUUCUCCUCAUAGUAGUUUUUCUCAAACCACUUCCAGUCAGGGCUCAUUCAUUCCAGGCUUUCCCCUAACCUCCUUGGUACUUUUAUAAAGGAAAAGAAAGGAAGGUAUCCUUGGUGACAGUCACACAAUCAACUCACAUCAUUUGUAGGGCCAUCCCGAAGUAUCGGGGGAAUCAAGACAACUGAGAAAGAUAUGCUAACUCCUACCUAUAUUGGGAAGUCACAGAAGAGUUGGGAAAACAUCCCCAGAUCUGAAUUUAAUCCCAGAAAUUCAGAAGAAAUAGACCAAAAUAGGAGCAACUUUAUUUGGAUUGUCUUCUUUUCUAAAAUUCUAGGUCCAACUACUGAGGUUUUUCACCAGUUUAGAUGAGCUUUUACAAUGCCAUCCUAAUUAGGCCUGCACCUUCAAAGCGCUAGUAAAAUAUAUUAUUUUUUAUUAUACCUUCCAGAAUCCUCAUAUUAGCAUAGCCAUUGGCUAGGGAAUCAGGAAACCUGUAAACAUUUUUUUAAAAGAGAGUGAAAUUCAAAAAAGCAACUCUUCCAAGUUCCACUUCCUUGGAACCAAUGAGUUCUUUGUUCAAGACCUUUGAACAUAACUUCCCAAUAGGUUUUCUAAGAGUAUUAGUUAUGGUGCAUUUCUCAGGAGCCACAAGAACACACCACAAAAACAUGCAAUUGAUCAGUUUAGUUCAAUAUUGUUAAUAUUGUUGGCAGCUUCAGAGUUGUAGACAAAAGUCAUUUCCAGCCCUAUCCGGAGAUGAAAGGCAUCAGAUACCCUUUCACUUACCUGUGCUACUAAUUAUUAGGCCAUUUCUCCUUUUCAGAAUAAAAAAAAACAGUGCUCUUCUCCCUUUGGUAGGGAAAAUAUCAACCCUGCUGGGUUUCUACUUCUUUAUGCUAAUAAUUCAGACGCACUAAAGUUGCAUGCAUAAACAAGAAGCCACUGUUUUCAAUCAUUAAUAAAGAAGACCUGGGGUGAAAAGUAACUGCAAGAGGAAGGGCCAGAGCAUGGAAUGCAGAAAUCCCCCCCCCCCAAUUGAAUUAUUUAUCCAAAUUCCCUUCAAGUCAAAUUUGGAACUCAGAGAACAUGUAUACUGAAAAAAAUAGUUUCUGCGUGGAUUUAUUAUUGGCAACUAAGGCAAAGGUACUGCAGUGAUUCAGUCCUCUUCUGGCAGAAACUGAACAUAUUUUGACACAUUCUCAUAAUACUGUCAGUAACUUUUCUAACAUCCUUCCUUUUAAUGUGGAGGGAGAAUCAGAUACAUACAUUUAUACUAGUAGUUUUUAGUAAAAGUCUAUCAUUCUGCCUGCCAUGAUUAGGCACCUACUCCAAGCUAGAUGUGCACAAAUAGAUCCCCAUCCUGAUGGCAACAAUUUGCAGGACUGGACAUUGGUAAUGUUACGCUUUGGACUACAUUUCCCAGCAUCCACUAGCCUUCAUGUCCACCUGUAAUGCAAAAAAAUUAUUUCCGAGCCUUACAAAAAAGCAGACAAAUAUUUUCCUUUUCCUCCUCUCUUCUUUACACAGUAUGGUUGGGUUAAUAGUCUGAGAUUGCCAAAUUAAAAACCUCCUUUAAAUUAUGGGAAAUUAAGUGUAACAUUAACUGUUCCAAUGCAAACAUUACGUCUUCGGAAGAAAGCUGCAUCAAUACCCUAAUUUUGUCUCUGGAGGAUUCAGUUUAAAUUCAAACAUAAUUCAGAAGCAAAAUUAGCACGUUAUUACCUUUAGCUUACUGAACUAUUUUAUUCAUUUGAAGUUGGUAGCCUUACUUACAGAGCUCCAGUUAAAACAUAAUCUUCCCUGAGCUACUGGACUCUCAGAAUCCCUGGCAAUUGACAGCUCACUGGGAGGUGAAAUCCAAAAUAAAACACUAUCAGUCUCUGGAAGUUUUGACUGAGCCGAAACCCUUUGGGACAUCUAUAUUUAUCCUUUCAGUUGUUUCUGUUUCCUGCCUGUUAAGUGUCAUGGCCUCAUCCUAUGGAAUCCUAGAAUUUUUAGUUUGGUAAGGCUGCUAAUCUCUUAAAUUACAGUUCCCGAAGUAACCUGUUUCCACUACAGUAUUACAGUGAUUUGUCAGCCCUGUACCCAUUCUCAAAAUAUCUUAGUAUCUUCUAAGUUAAAUUCAUCAAAUUCUGUAAUUACAUAGGAUGAAACCAUGGCAAUUCAAGUAAAAUGAAACUAGUAUUGUGUGAAUCAGGCAGAGGUCUUCCACAUACCAAACCAUUUAAAUCUUUUCUCUGUCUCAAAUGGAAAGUUGAACAGACCAGAAGGUCUUAGAAUGCCAAGUACAUACUCUGCCAUUGAAAAAUGACCUCCUCUCCAUAUGUAUGCAUUUGUGGAACCAGCAUUUUAAUAAAUGGAAGUGGGUUGCUUAUAACUUGAGGUAAUGUUUGUGCAAUUCCACACACAGUAUAGACUUUGCUCUUUUUUCUUUUAAAGAAUUUCCCCCCGAAAGACAGAAUGUAUUGCUUGUGUUUGUGUAGAAAAUUCUGAAAUUGAAACAUUUUACAAAAGUCAUCUCUCCCUGCGAAAAGAAUGCCUACAUUUCUCAACUAAUAUUUUAGGAACCAUCAACUAGUCUUUCAGUACUGUUUAGCAAGAUGAUCAUUGUAGGCUUAUUUAUGUUUGACUUGGGAGGAUUUGUCUUCUUAAAAGCAGCAUACCAAUGAGUGUAAUAAGUAAUACCGAGCCGCCAUUUAGCACACACCAAACAGGAAAAUUUAAGCUUACAGAUUCAAGGACGUAUUGUGACCUGUGCAAUUUGCAUAGUCUGCUUUAAAAUCUUCUAUUUAUUUAUUUAUUUAUUUAUUUUUCAAACUUAUAUGCCGCCACUCCCCUAGGGCUCGGAGCGGCUUACAAGAACCGGCUAAAAUCAAUAAUUUAAAGAACAUCUUUAAAAACAUCUUUGAAAACAUCUUUAAAACUUCCUAAAAGCACCUUUUAAAACAUCAACAACAGAACUCAAAAGCCUGUCGAAACAGGUGUGUCUUACAUGCCCUGCGGAAGGCUGACAAGUCCCGCAAGGCACGAACUUCAGGUGGCAAGGUGUUCCACAGAGAUGGUGCCACUACUGAAAAGGCUCUGCGUCUAGUUGCAGUUAGACACAAGGUCUUAAAACUGGGAAGUUCCAGUAGGUCUUGGUCCUCAGAAUGGAGGGAACUCUGGGGUUUGUAGAGAGUGAGGCGGUCCCUCAGGUACAUCGGCCCUAGACCAUGUAAGGCCUUGAAGGUAAGCACCAUCACUUUGAAAGUGAUCCGGUGCUCAAUUGGUAACCAGUGCAGCUGCCGUAAGAUUGGUGUUAUGUGGCAUCUUAUCGGGACUCCCGCAAGGAGCCGGGCAGCUGCAUUUUGCACCAAUUUGAGCUUCCGGAUCACCGACACAGGAAGGCCAAUGUAAAGGGCGUUACAGUAAUCCAGUCUCGAGAUGACUGUAGCCUGGAUCACCGUAGCCAGGUUGUCCCUAGACAGAUAGGGGGCUAGCCGUCUAGCCUGCCGAAGAUGAAAAAAGGCAGUUUUGGUAACGGCGGAGACCUGGGCCUCCAUCGUCAAUGAAGGGUCCAAGAGGACUCCCAGACUCUUUACCAGUAGAGACGGGCGUAGCACUUUGCUAUCCAGGGUUGACAACUGGAUAUCCCCACUGCCCAGUCGGCCCAGCCAUAGGAUCUCCGUCUUUGCUGGAUUCACCCUCAACCUACAGGAACGCAACCAUCCAAUAAUGGUCUCGAGGCACUGAUGAAAACUGUCAGGAACAGACUCCGGUCGGCCCUCCAUCUUUAACAGAAGCUGAGUGUCGUCAGCAUAUUGAUAACACUCGAGCCCGAAAUCUCGGACCAGCUGAGCAAGUGGUCGCAUAUAGAUGUUAAACAACAGAGGGGAGAGAAUGGCCCCCUGAGGAACCCCACAAUGUAGAGGGGACCUCUCAGAGACCAGGCCUCCCCUCUCCACUUGCUGUGUACGGUUUUGAAGAAAGGAGGCCAGCCAAUUUAAAGCUGUCCCCCUAACUCCAGCAACGGCAAGGCGGUGGGUCAGAAGAUUGUGAUCGACUGUGUCAAAUGCUGCUGUGAGAUCCAAUAACACAAGCAGCACCGACCCGCCCUGGUCAAGCUGGCAUCGGAGAUGAUCUGUGAUGGAAACCAAUACAGUCUCUGUCCCAUGCCCCGCACGGAAGCCAGACUGGAAAGGAUCCAGUCCGGCUGUGUUAUCUAGAAACUGCUGCAGCUGCACCGCUACUGCCCU
ensembl:lncRNA